rnacentral:rRNA from 1 species
UACGAAGGGGGCGAGCGUUGUUCGGAUUUACUGGGCGUAAAGGGGGCGUAGGCGGCCUGCCAAGUCGGGUGUGAAAGCCCCGGGCUCAACCUGGGAGGUGCGCUCGAGACUGGCGGGCUGGAGUUCGGGAGAGGAGCGUGGAAUUCCCAGUGUAGAGGUGAAAUUCGUAGAUAUUGGGAAGAACACCGGUGGCGAAGGCGGCGCUCUGGACCGAGACUGACGCUGAGGCGCGAAGGCGUGGGGAGCAAACAGG